UGGGGGAUAUUGCACAAUGGGCGAAAGCCUGAUGCAGCGACGCCGCGUGGGGGAUGAAGGCUUUCGGGUUGUAAACCUCUUUCGCUAUCGAACAAGGCCCGCUUAGGGUGGGUUGAGGGUAGGUGGAGAAGAAGCGCCGGCUAACUACGUGCCAGCAGCCGCGGUAAUACGUAGGGCGCGAGCGUUGUCCGGAAUUAUUGGGCGUAAAGGGCUUGUAGGCGGCUUGUUGCGCCUGCUGUGAAAACGCGGGGCUUAACUUCGCGCGUGCAGUGGGUACGGGCAGGCUUGAGUGUGGUAGGGGUGACUGGAAUUCCAGGUGUAGCGGUGGAAUGCGCAGAUAUCUGGAGGAACACCGAUGGCGAAGGCAGGUCACUGGACAAAGACUGACGCUCAGGUGCGAAAGCGUGGGGAGCAAACAGG
rnacentral:rRNA from 1 species